rnacentral:rRNA from 1 species
UGGGGAAUAUUGCACAAUGGGCGAAAGCCUGAUGCAGCAACGCCGCGUGAGCGAUGAAGGCCUUCGGGUUGUAAAGCUCUGUCUUCGCUGACGAAAUCUGACGGUAAGCGAGGAGGAAGCCACGGCUAACUACGUGCCAGCAGCCGCGGUAAUACGUAGGUGGCAAGCGUUGUCCGGAAUUACUGGGCGUAAAGGGUGCGUAGGCGGUCCUUUAAGUGGGAUGUGAAAUCCCUGGGCUUAACCCAGGAACUGCAUUCCAAACUGGAGGACUAGAGUGCAGGAGAGGAAAGCGGUAUUCCCAGUGUAGCGGUGAAAUGCGUAGAGAUUGGGAGGAACACCAGUAGCGAAGGCGGCUUUCUGGAAUGUAACUGACGCUGAGGCACGAAAGCGUGGGGAGCAAACAGG